UAAAAAAAGAUUCUUCCACAAGUUACAUUUCUCAGGCACCCACCCGAAAGGCCGAAACUUCAUCAGAAAGUACCUUCACCACUUAACAAGAAGAAAUAACAGUAGUCAUCAAAUGCAGAAUGACAACCGCAACGGCCACCAGAAGGUGUAGACACUCUUAUAAUCAAUGUGAUAAGUUGACAGGUAAUAAUUAGAAGUAAUUCUACAUAAAAUCAUAUAACUACACACCAUUAUAUUCACUACAGAGGAGGGGGGGGGAGGGGGAACCCGAGUGAGAUGUCAAGCUUCUGUUAUAUAUAGCUGCCUUUAGUUGAAGUUAAAGUGUUUCUAUGAAUGGUUAGGGUGGAUGAAGCUUGUUAUCUCCUCCAUUAGGCAGCGAAAAUGAUCGUUAUUGGGCAAGAAGUAGAAACCUAUUGUUGCCUCCUUUAGAUAUAGGAGAUUCACCUCAUGCCCUGAUUUCUGCAAACCUUCAACAUAAGUCAAUUGCCAAUCCUGAACAACAUCCAAGCCAGCUACAACGACUAAACUCUUUGUGAAGUUAAGUCCUUUGAGGCUUCUACCCCUCGGGCCAAAUAUAUUACAAGCAGGAUGAUCCCUAUCUUCCCCUUCUGGUAGAUAAGCUCUCCAGUACCAAUCCCUAUCUUGAACUGUUACAAAGUAUUUACCAUCCAAUCUCUUCUCGGAUUCAGUCCUCUUUUGGCCACCAAACAUUGGAUGGAGGUCCUCUUUUGGCCACCAAACAUUGGAUGAAGUAGAAUAUUACCCAAUACCUUAAUAUCGGCUUCCGCAGCCCUCACAGCAACAUGGUGAGCAAUAUUACCACCAGAACUAUCACCGGCCAAGUAAACAUGAACUUUCAAAUCCUUUCCACUCUGAAGCCAUGGCCUUGAUUGCACCCAUUGAAGAGCAGUCCAUCCGUCAUCGUAAGCACAAGGAUAGCGAUGCUCAGGUGAUCGUCGAUAAUUCACAGAAACAACAACAGCCUUGCAAAUGCUAACAAGGCGACGGCAAAAUGUAUCAUAAAUAGCACUAUUGGCUGAAGAAUGAGUAAAACUUCCACCAUGGAAGAAAAUAAUGACAGGUACUAUUUCUGUGGUGCUCAAAGGUUUCUCAAGCUCAACUUUAGCCCAAUCGGCCUCAUUUUUUGGGGCUGGUCUAUAGACGCGGUUAAGCAGGCUUGUAGCACGAUCAAUGACAUCAAAAGAGUAAACUCCAUCAACUGGAAUCGAGUUUGCAGCAACUUUCCUUUCCAAGAACUCAGCCAAAUCUCGAUUAAAAGUGCCAUCAGAACGACGAAGCAUGUUGUAAGCCAGCUUGAAAUUGGAUAUAAGAAUCCAUGUAUUAAGUGGAACUACUCUCUGCCAAAAUGGACAUAAUAUGGCCCAGUCAUUACAAAAAUAACAUCUACAAAUAGUAGAACCAAUAUCCACUUCCCAUUCUGAGGUGCUAACAGCAAAUUGAUCAUAGCAAUAUGCAUCUUGUGACAAUCCACAAAUAGUCACAACAAAUAAAGGAAAUAUUAGGCAAUUUUUUUAUGCAUAGCCAGAAAGAGAAAGUAGCAAACGGAAAAGAAAGAAUCAAACCCCAAAAGAGCAAAUAGGAAAGUAAAAAGUGAUU
rnacentral:lncRNA from 1 species